UAUCUCUGUAGAGUCUGCAUAUCAAUAAGCGGAGGAAAAGAAACUAACAAGGAUUCCCUUAGUAACGGCGAGUGAAGCGGGAAGAGCUCAAAUUUGAAAUCUUCAAGGUUUUACCUUGACGAAUUGUAGUUUAAAGAAGUGUUUUCUGUAGUGGAGUUCGGUAAAAGUUCUUUGGAAUAGGACAUCAUAGAGGGUGAGAAUCCCGUAUUUGACCGUUAUUUUCAGCUGUGUGAUACACUUUCAAAGAGUCGGAUUGUUUGGGAAUGCAGUCCAAAAUGGGUGGUAAAUUUCAUCUAAAGCUAAAUAUUGGCGAGAGACCGAUAGCGAACAAGUACCGUGAGGGAAAGAUGAAAAGAACUUUGAAAAGAGAGUUAAACAGUACGUGAAAUUGUCAAAAGGGAAGCGUUUGACACCAGUGUUGUUUUCUCGAAAAUCAAUUAAAAAUGGCUUGAUUUUGUGUUGUAUUGACCUUAAAAGCUUUCUGCACUUUUUUCAUGUCUUUUUUAAUGCACUUUUCGUUUAACAAGUCAACAUCAGUUUCUUUUGUUGUAAAAAGGUCAUUGGAAGGUGGCUUUCUUUUCGGAGAAAGUGUUUAUAGCCUUUGACUCCUGCAAUCGGAGAGACUGAGGUCUGCAGCGUAGAUCCUUCUUGGAUUAGAUUCAUUUGUGCUAAGUUAUAGCUUUUUAUAGACAACUUGUUGACUAUAUUUAGUCUUGUAGCUUACUCGCUUAUGCAAUUUUACCUACGCUUAGGAUGUUGAACGCGCACAGAGUCUC
rnacentral:rRNA from 1 species